rfam:Gossypium raimondii Chr06_contig_762, whole genome shotgun sequence.
CGCGUCCGCGACCUGCUGACGUGGAAGGAAAUCGCUCCCUCAAGGACAUGAUUUCCUUCCACGUCAGCAGGUCGCGCUGACGUGG